GCCUGGCUAGCUCAGUCGGUAGAACAUGAGACUCUUUAUCUCAGGGUCGUUGGUUAGAUCCCCACGUUGGGCG
rnacentral:tRNA from 1 species